UACGUAGGUGGCAAGCGUUGUCCGGAUUUACUGGGCGUAAAGAGCGCGCAGGCGGUCGUUCAAGUCGCGUGUGAAAGCCCCCGGCUCAACUGGGGAGGGUCACGCGAUACUGAUCGACUCGAAGGCAGGAGAGGGUAGUGGAAUUCCCGGUGUAGUGGUGAAAUGCGUAGAUAUCGGAAGGAACAUCAGUGGCGAAAGCGACUUCCUGGACCAGUACCGACGUUCAGGCACGAAAGCGUGGGGAGCAAACAGG
rnacentral:rRNA from 1 species